GCAUACCGCGGAAGUAGGCGGCAAAAAGCGUACAACGGAGUCCAAUGGGAGUGUCGCAACUCUUUCUCUCUAUGGCUCUGGCUGUGACUAGUUUUAUUCUUCUCAAAUCUCCACGAUUACCUAUUUGGACGCACUGGAAGAGGCUGCUUUUUAUCUCGCAAAAGGUACAUCAUUCCUACAGCUUGAAUGAAUCGCCUCUGACAACUUGGGUUGCUGUG